UACGUAGGGCGCAAGCGUUGUCCGGAAUUAUUGGGCGUAAAGAGCUCGUAGGCGGCUUGUCACGUCGGUUGUGAAAGCCCGGGGGCUCAACCUCGGGCCUGCAGUGGGUACGGGCAGACUAGAGUGCGGUAGGGGAGAUUGGAAUUCCUGGUGUAGCGGUGGAAUGCGCAGAUAUCAGGAGGAACACCGAUGGCGAAGGCAGAUCUCUGGGCCGUAACUGACGCUGGAGGAGCGAAAGCAUGGGGAGCGAACAGG
rnacentral:rRNA from 1 species